UCCUUGGUGGCUUACACAGUAAAAGCAUUUGUUUGUAAUGCAGGAGACCCAGGUUCGAUCCCUGGGUCUGGAA
rnacentral:tRNA from 1 species